GCGCCCGUAGCUCAGUGGAUAGAGCGCUUGCCUCCGGAGCAAGAGGUCGCUGGUUCGAAUCCAGCCGGGCGCG
rnacentral:tRNA from 3 species